AUUGAACGCUGGCGGCAUGCCUUACACAUGCAAGUCGAACGGCAGCACGGGAGCAAUCCUGGUGGCGAGUGGCGAACGGGUGAGUAAUAUAUCGGAACGUGCCCAGUCGUGGGGAGUAACGUAAGCGAAAGACUACGCUAAUAACCGCAUACGAUCUAUGGAUGAAAGACGGGGGAGUCGCAAGACCUCGCGCGAUUGGAGCGGCCGAUAUCAGAUUAGGUAGUUGGUGAGGUAAAGGCUCACCAAGCCGACGAUCUGUAGCUGGUCUGAGAGGACGACCAGCCACACUGGGACUGAGACACGGCCCAGACUCCUACGGGA
rnacentral:rRNA from 1 species